rnacentral:rRNA from 1 species
UUUGCCUACGGGAGGCAGCAGUGGGGGAUAUUGCACAAUGGGGGAAACCCUGAUGCAGCGACGCCGCGUGGGCGAAGAAGUAUUUCGGUAUGUAAAGCCCUAUCAGCAGGGAAGAAGAAAUGACGGUACCUGAGUAAGAAGCACCGGCUAAAUACGUGCCAGCAGCCGCGGUAAUACGUAUGGUGCAAGCGUUAUCCGGAUUUACUGGGUGUAAAGGGCGUGCAGCCGGGAAGACAAGUCAGAUGUGAAAUCCCGCGGCUCAACCGCGGAACUGCAUUUGAAACUGUUUUUCUUGAGUACCGGAG